rnacentral:rRNA from 1 species
AUUGAACGCUGGCGGCAGGCCUAAUACAUGCAAGUCGAGCGGCGCGGCGGACGGGUGAGUAAUGCCUAGGAAACUGCCUGGUAGUGGGGGAUAACGUCCGGCAACGGGCGCUAAUACCGCAUACUAUCAGAUCAGCUUAGGUCGGAUUAGCUAGUUGGUGGGGUAAAGGCCUACCAAGGCGACGAUCCGCAACUGGUCUGAGAGGAUGCUCAGUCACACGGGAACUGAGACACGGUCCAGACUCCGACGUGAGGCAGCAGUGGGGAAUAUUGGACAAUGGGCGAAAGCCUGAUGCAGCCAUGCCGCGUGUGUGAAGAAGGUCUUCGGAUUGUAAAGCACUUUAAGUUGGGAGGCGUUACCAGCAGAAGAAGCACCGGCUAACUUCGUGCCAGCAGCCGCGGUAAUUC